UUGUAGUCAGAGUUGGCCCUACACGCCAGCAACCGUGUCGAAGGGACCUGCAGUUGGUAUUGAUCUUGACACCGCAUACUCUUGUGUGGGUGUUUUCCAGCAUGGAAAAGUAGAGAUAAUUGCCAAUGAUCAGGGAAACUGAACCACUCCAAGUUAUGUCACCUUUACAAACACUGAAUGAUUGAUCGGUGAUGCCACAAAGAAUCAAGCUGCAAUGAACCCCACCAACAUGGUUUUUGAUGUCAAACAUCUGAUUGGAUGCAGAUUUGAUGAUGCUGUUGUCUAGUCUGAUAUGAAGCAUUGGUCCUCCAUGAUGGUGAAUGAUGCUGGCAGGCCCAAGGUCCAAGUAGAAUACAAGGGAGAGACCAAAGCUUCUAUCCAGAGGAGGUGUCCUCUAUGGUUCUGACAAAGAUGAAGGAAAUUGCAGAAGCCUACCUUGGGAAGACUGUUACCAAUGCUGUGGUCACAGUGCUAGCUUACUUUAAUGACUCUCAGCAUCAGGCUACCAAAGAUGUUGGAACUAUUGCUGGUCUCAAUGUACUUAGAAUUAUCAAUGAGCCAAUUGCUGCUGAUAUUGCUUACGGCUUAGACAAAAAGGUUGGAGCUGAAAGAAACGUGCUUAUCUUUGACCUGGGAGGUGGCACUUUUGAUGUGUCAAUCCUCACUAUUGAGGAUGGAAUCUUUGAAGUCAAAUUUACAGCUGGAGACACCGACUUGGGUGGAGAAGACUUUGACAACUGAAUUGUCAGCCAUUUUAUUGUUGAGUUCAAGCGCAAGCAUAAGAAAGAUAUCAGUGAGAAGAAGACAGCUGUGAGACGCCUCUGUACUGCUGGUGAACAUGCUAAGCAUACUCUCUCUUCCAGCACCCAGGUCAGUAUUGAGAUCGAUUCUCUCUAUGAAUGAAUCCACUUCUGUACAUCCAUUGCCUGUGCCUGAUUUGAAGAAUUGAAUGCUGACCUGUUCCAUGGCACCCUGGGCCCUGUAGAAAAAGCCAUUCAAGAUGCCAAACUACACAAGUCACAGAUUCAUGACAUUGUCCUUAUUGAUGGUUCUACUCAUAUCCCCAAGAUUCAGAAGCUUCUCCAAGAUGUCUUCAACAGAAAACAACUGAAUAAGAGCAUCACCCUUGAUGAAGCUGUUGCUUAUGGUGCAGCUGUCCAGGCAGCCAUCCUAUCUGGAGACAAAACUAAAAAAUGUUCAAGAUUUGCUGCUCUUGGAUGUCAACCCUCUUUCCUUUGGUAUUGAAACUGCUGGUGGAGUCAUGAUUGUCCUCAUCAAGCACAGUACUACCAUUCCUACCAAGCAGACACAGACCUUCUGGCAGCCUAUCUAUUGUGACAACCAGCCUGGUGUGCUGAUUCAGGUUUAUGAAGGUGAGUGUGCUAUGACCAAGAAUGACAACCUGCUUGACAAGUUUGAACUCACAGGCAUACCUUCUGCACACCAUGGUGUUCCUCUGAUUGAAUUCACUUUUGACAUUGAUGCCAACGGCAUCCUCAGUAUCUCUGCCGUGGACAAGUGUAUAGGAAAAGAGAACAAGAUUACUAUCACUAAUGACAAGGGUCCUUUGAGCAAGGAAGACAUUGAAUGUAUGGUCCAGUAAGCUGAGAAAUAUAAAACUGAAGAUAGGAGGUGUCAUCCAAGAAUUCACUUGAGUCCUAUGCAUUCCGCAUGAAAGCAACUGUCAAAGAUGAGAAGCUUCAAGGUAAGAUUAAUGAUGAGGACAAAUAGAACAUUCUGGACAAGUGUAAUGAAGCUAUCAACUGGCUGGAUAAGAGUCAGGCUGCCAAGAAGGAAGAAUUUGAACAUCAGCAGAAAGAGCUGGAGAAAGUCUGCAAUCCCAUCAUUACCAAGCAGUACCAGAGUGCAGGAGGCAUGCCAGGAGGAAUGCCUGGGGAAUUCCCUGGUGGUGGAGCUCCUCCCUCUGGUGGUGCUUCCUCAAGGCCCACCAUUGAAGAGGUUGAUUAA